rnacentral:lncRNA from 1 species
AAACGCGUAAUACAAGUCCAACCUUUUUGAGUCACCACUCUUUUCUAUAGCAUGAACUUUUCAAGGCAAUCUCACUUUAGCUAAACUCCCCCAGAGUUAUCAGAAUAACCUAACCCUAAGCUAUACUCUCCCUAAGUCUAGACUUCAACCUCUAAAUCUCUGAAAGUACGUCACCGAGUGCUUCACCAAAUACGUCACCGAGUACGUCAAUACCUAGAACACACUAAAAAUACUAACGAGCACGUCAACACCAAAGCACAACUUGAUCACCACAACACAGCGGACAACACUGCCAUAUAUAACGUUAGCACCAAUGUCACAACACCAAGUACAACUGAACACUCCGCCAGACACUACGUCAACACAAUGUCAA